rnacentral:lncRNA from 1 species
UAAAAAACAAAACAAAACAAAACAAAAAAAACCCAAACUUAUAAGUAAGUUCCCUCAUGGAUCAGCAGAUUAAGGAUCCAGUGUUGUAACUCCUGUGGCUCUGGUCCUAUCCCUGGCCCAGGAACUUACACACACUGAGAGUAUGGCAAAAAAAAAAAAAAAAAAAAAAAAACUUAUGUAAAAAUUGAUGCUCAGCUAUGUACACUUAAAACCUCAAAGCAAUGCUGAGAAAAACUAACAAAGACCUAAAGAAAUGGAGAGAUAUACCAUAUUCAUGGAUCAGAAAAAAUCAAUACCAUGAAGACAUCAGUUCUCCCCAAAUUGCUACAUAGAUAUGAUGCAACCCCAAUCAAAACCUCAGCACGACCUUUUUUGAGGACAAACUGACAAGCUUAUUCUAAAACUCAUAUGAAAUGAAAUGCAAGCCAGGCAGGGGCAAAUCUUUGAGAACCAUGGAAACCACGCUUCCUGGCUUGGAGUUUUUCUCGCAGGCACUGAGAAGGCAUUUCAACAUUAAGCAGAAGGACGACAUGACUGACCAGUGUUUUAGCUACAUCACACUGAAAUCCCAUGAGCAGCUUCCCGGCAGAUGCAGGAGCAGAGCAUGGACUGGGUGGCAGUGAGCGUGUGCAUUACCUACACCCUGAGAAGGAAUGAGGAGAUGGGCAGCCUCCUCUGGAGAGCAUCUUCAGGAGGAUGCAGGCUUCCAAGAAGAAAGAUGGAGAGAAACUCUGUAUACAGAAGGCAAGUUCAGCAAAUGUUCACAGCUUCCAAGGGCCUCCCUCAUAAAAUGUCCACACUAAGUGAAACAGUUUCUUCACCUUGAGAAUCCUAGCUGUUUAUCAUGGUGAAAGUCCAGUGAAUCGGGAGCCCAAGAGAAAACUGCUCUGCACACAGAAUUUAGCAUUGACAGCUCUCACAGUCACUUUCAUGCACUUUGUACUCACAAAAGUAACCCCCUCGGGGCUGCGUGAACUUUGAGAAGUUCUGUGUUUCCAGCAGGGCCCAGAUUAAGCAGUUUUUGAUUAUUCAAUUGCUGACUGAUUUGAUCUGAGCUAACUGUUCAGGCUUAGUUGCCUCACUCAGAAAAGCCCUUGGGACAAAAACCUGCGUCUACUCUGCACAGGCCACAAAACCUACAAACAGAAAUUACAACAGGCCUUGAGGUACGCUCAGCACACUCCUGCAGGCCCACGGCUCAUUCUAAAGUCUGAAUAUACAAACCUGAAAACGUCCCAAGAAUGCAGUGAACGCUCUGAAGUUUGCCGGUAUGUUGACAAAACCCACCCCUAAUAAAUACCUGCCUCCCUGAGAAAGGUUUGCCAGACCUGCAGUGAGGCCAGAGCUCAGCCCAUGCUCAGAGAAGUGACAGAUGCCACCACGCCUUUGUGAAGAUUUGGCUAAAAGGACAAUAUGGAGGAAAGACAUGGUUGGUGGGGGAGCCCACCAAGGCUUCUCAGUAGGCUCGGGACUUUUGCUGGUAGAUUUGACUUCUACCAGCCCUUCCUCGGCUUUUCCACUUUAAGGGAAUGGGGCUGGGGGAGGGGGGGUAGGCCUGAAGCUUGUGAAGGAAGAACAGAGCCAGAGCUGCUGGCCCUGGUGCACAAGGACCUCGCAGUGUUUGUCUGCCGAGGCACCUGCCCAUGAGGGACUCCCACCUGUGGUGUCCCUUUGGCGCACCUGGUAGGAGAGGAGGGGCUCACAGCUUCUCUUAUUGACCAGUGACCACUAAUCUUCAAGUUGCUUGUGUUUAGAAGGAGCCCUACAGCGGUUCACUAAAGGUUUGCCUCGGCUCUGUCAUCUGACAGGAGUCACCCAGGUUUUGGGGUGAGUGUAUGAGGUUGAUCCCUCCCCCAUUUGUUCCCUACAAUCCCAUCACUAUCAUUUCAUAUCAGUUAACUGUUCUCAGGGAAUUUGCUUUAGGAUCAUACAGGUCCUGCCUUCACCAAGCAUCCUCACCUUGAUUUCAAACAGCAUCCCAACCCUCCAUUCAACAAACAAAUGGAACAUGGAAAGAAAGUCAAAAACCUCAGUUGGGUGUUAACGGUUGGCAGAAUUUUUCUACUUUCAGUGUAACAAUGACAGUACAUGUACUAUAAAAUAACUUGCAUUAUUUUAUAAAAGACAAAUAACAAUUUGUAUCUCAUUUCCGAGGCUCAACAAGUGACACGUUGCAGAAUAUUCUAGGUUUUGUGCUCAAGACGAAGCUAACCCAUGUUUUUGCGGUCCUAAUUCAAAGAGGGUGGGUGUCUCGUCUGUGUUCAGAACAGAAGGUCCUCUUAAAGAUGUGAGGACUACCCUUUGUUUGCAGUCACAGAAACUGUCUUUCAAACAACUAAAGGAUCCGUUUUACCGGGAUAUUUUCCAGGAAAGCAAGGUCAGGCUGUACCCCAAAGCUAGUGUCAGUUAUCAGCCUGCCUUCGUUUGGGAGGGUGCCUGUUUAACCAGCUUAAAAAUCGCCAGGGGUUUUCUCCAGACUCCACUGACAGCCUCCACCCCCACCUCAAGAAUGAAUGAGGGGAAAACAAACAACUAUUCCAAGUUCCUUUUGAUCUCAAUAACAUCACCCAAAACUGGAAGAUAACUCCUUGCGGACUCCCACCUGACAUCAGAGCAAAAGGACUGAGAGCAAGUCCCUCGCCCGCCCUUCUGCUUCUGCAGAGCAGUGGCCGCACGCACCAAAGAUGAGACCUCGGGGACCCAGGGUGCGGUCAGGCAUGGGGCUGUGAACCCGAACCAGCUACACCUGGAAAGUCAGCCCGGACGUCACAGUCAGAAAGCGGCCCCAGCGCCCCAGGCUGGCCCUCGCAGUUAGACUGAGCCGGCUCGGCAGCCAAUCGACGGCCGCCCAGACGUUGCUAUGGCCACGCCGCCUGUUAGGACUGUGCACUCCCC